ACCUACAAAGAGCUACGACAUCAAUUCCUGUUUCAAAUGCACGCCACAGGAAGUUGUUCAAGACAAAGUCAGAGACUAGAGGACAAAGUCAGACUAGAGGACAAAGUCAGACUAGAGGACAAAGUCAGAGACUAGAGGACAAAGUCAGAGACUAGAGGACAAAGUCAGACUAGAGGACAAAGUCAGAGACUAGAGGACAAAGUCAGACUAGAGGACAAAGUCAGACUAGAGGACAAAGUCAGAGACUAGAGGACAAAGUCAGAGACUAGAGGACAAAGUCAGACUAGAGGACAAAGUCAGACUAGAGGACAAAGUCAGAGACUAGAGGACAAAGUCAGAGACUAGAGGACAAAGUCAGAGACUAGAGGACAAAGUCAGACUAGAGGACAAAGUCAGAGACUAGAGGACAAAGUCAGACUAGAGGACAAAGUCAGAGACGAGAGGACAGCAGCUGAAGUCAGAGUUGAGAGGUCAA